rnacentral:sRNA from 12 species
UCGAGAGUAUUGCAAGUCCUGUUGCUUGCAGUAGGGUGAUAUGUAAAUUCAGCAAUCCACUGGCGGAGUAAUGUCGUAUAGGACUACGUGUUGUGCGGUUAUGCGCCGCCUGCACCCCGAGCUACGUUUCCGUUAGUUAUCCACACCAGUCUGUAUGGGGACCGAGCAGGGCAUCCUGUUUUGAUAGGGAUGAUUCCACUCUUUUCCGGUACAUUCAUUUCAGUGAUUGCUUUUUCC